GAUGAACGCUGGCGGCGUGCUUAACACAUGCAAGUCGAACGAUGAAGCCCAGCUUGCUGGGUGGAUUAGUGGCGAACGGGUGAGUAACACGUGAGUAACCUGCCCUUAACUCUGGGAUAAGCCUGGGAAACUGGGUCUAAUACCGGAUAGGAGCGUCCACCGCAGGGUGGGUGUUGGAAAGAUUUAGCGGUUUUGGAUGGACUCGCGGCUUAUCAGCUUGUUGGUGGGGUAAUGGCUCACCGAGGCGAAGACGGGUAGCCGGCCUGAGAGGGUGACCGGCCACACUGGGACUGAGACACGGACCAGACUCCUACGGGAGGCAGCAGUGGGGAGUAUUGCACAGUGGGCGCAAGCCUGAUGCAGCGACGCCGCGUGAGGGAUGACGGCCUUCGGGUUGUAAACCUCUUUCAGUAGGGAAGAAGCGAAAGUGACGGUACCUGCAGAAGAAGCACCGGCUAACUACGUG
rnacentral:rRNA from 1 species